UAAAAAAUAAUUAUGGAACUAAAUAGUUAACGGAGUCAGAUUACAGAAACUAACUAAUGUUUUUUUUCAAAAUAUAGGGACUAACUAAAUAGUUUCAUUAAAAUAGUGAAACUAAAUAUUAAUUUGACUAAGCAGUUUAACGGAAGCAAAAUACAGGGACUAAAUAGUGUAUUUUUCGAAAUACAUGGACUAAGUAGUUAGUUUUAUUAAAAUAUAGGGACUAAAUAGUAACUUACCUUUUUUUUUAUUUAAGUAGGGACAUGAGUGUUUUGUCAAACCUCAUGGGUGUUUUGUAUUUACCUUCGAUUAUCAUAUCAAUUUUUAGAAUUUGGAAAAAAAAAAUCUUUGGAGAUAGAGAUU
rnacentral:misc_RNA from 1 species